rnacentral:rRNA from 1 species
UACGGAGGGUGCGAGCGUUGUCCGGAAUCACUGGGCGUAAAGGGCGCGUAGGUGGCGACCCAAGUCGAUGGUGAAAGCUCGCCGCUCAACGGCGAGUCGGCCACUGAUACUGGGUUGCUGGAGCACUGUAGAGGCAGAUGGAAUUCCGGGUGUAGCGGUGGAAUGCGUAGAGAUCCGGAAGAACACCAGUGGCGAAGGCGGCUGCCUGGACCUCUGCUGACGCUGAGGCGCGAAAGCGUGGGGAGCGAGUCGG